GACUGCCAGAGGGAACGUUGCAGCUCGCCAAAAUUAGCAAGGUGCUGAUGUCGAUGGAACAAGGCCGACUAAUGGACUUUAAGGGGAAAAAUUUGGAUGAAAUAGAAAUACAACCUCAUGAGCAAGUUCAGCUGCCUGAUGAGGGAAUGGAGGAAGAAGAGCACGAGGACAGUGGUUUACAAACAGCAGAUGAUGUCAGGUCACUUUCCGAUGUAUCCUUGCAAGGUACAUCCAAAUGGUCACUUCCAAAAGAUGAUGUCAGGUCGCUUUCCAGUGUAUCCUUGGAAGAUACAGCAGAAACAGAUGUCAGGUCGCUUUCCAAUGUAUCCUUGGAAGAUACAGCACAGCUGGGACACAUGUCACAUCCAAAAGCUCACUCUGCUCCGAAGAGGAAAUGGGAAUCACAGGAAGUGGAGGCAAUUGAAAAGCGGUUGGGUGCUUUUAUUAAAUCUUUACGUGUCCCAGGAAAAGUGGAUUGUGUCACAUGCUUAGAAGCGGAACCCAGAGCCUUAAAGAACAGAGACUGGCAGGCUAUAAAAUAUUUUGUGUACAACAGAAUUGUUUCUCUCAAAAGAAAGAUGUAAUCAAUUCCUGACUUGUAAUUUUUUUUAGCGAAGGGAGAGCGUGGUCACCCCACCCGGACUUGAACCCGGGUUUACGGGGUGCCAAACAUGCGCUCUGACGCC
ensembl:lncRNA